UUCUUUGAGAGUUUGAUCCUAGCUCAGGAUGAAUGCUGGCGGCGUGGAUAAGGCAUGCAAGUCGAGCGGUUCAACAAUUCUCGCAAGAGAAUUGUUGGAUAGCGGCGAACGAGUUAGUAACACGUAGGUAUCUACCCAUUACACGGGCAUAGCUCGCCGAAAGGCGGAUUAAUUCCCGAUGGUCCCGCAAGGGUAAAGCCCCGACGCAAGUCGGAGCGGUAGUGGAAGAGCCUGCGUCCUAUCAGCUAGUUGGUGAGGUAAGAGCUUACCAAGGCGAUGACGGGUAGGGGACGUGAGAGCGUGUUCCCCAACGAUGGCACUGAGACACGGGCCAUACACCUACGGGUGGCAGCAGUCGAGGAUAUUGGACAAUGGGCGCAAGCCUGAUCCAGCGACGCCGCGUGCGGGAUGAAGGCCUUCGGGUUGUAAACCGCUUUUGUAGAGGAAGAACUUCGGUGACGGUACUCUACGAAUAAGGGGGUGCUAAUUCUGUGCCAGCAGCCGCGGUAAAACAGAACCCCCAAGCAUUAUCCGGAUUCAUUGGGCGUAAAGCGUCUGUAGCCGGUUUGGAAAGUCUCGGGUUAAAUACCGAAGGCUCAACCUUUGGAAUGCUCGAGAAACUGCCAGACUAGAGGGCGUUAGGGGCUGAUGGAACUCUUGGUGGAGGGGUGAAAUCCGUUGAUAUCAAGAGGAACACCAAAAGCGAAGG
rfam:Candidatus Wildermuthbacteria bacterium RIFCSPHIGHO2_02_FTLL_45_25 rifcsphigho2_02_scaffold_7814, whole genome shotgun sequence.